UAAGAGUCAAGAACAUUAUUUAGAUGAUGCUGUAGAGAUGAACUCUUCUCUGGGCUUAGUGGCUGUGGUGCUCUUAGUGCUUGGACAAAUCCAUGGAGACUCGGUGACCCAGACAAAAGGCCAAGUGACCCUCUCAGAAGGGGCUCCCCUGACUGUGAAUUGCUCCUAUGAAACCACACAGUACCCUGCUCUUUUCUGGUAUGCUCAGUAUCCCGGAGAAGGUCCACAGCUCCUCCUGAAAGCCACAAGGGUCAACGAGAACGGAAGCAGCAAAGGAUUUGUAGCCACAUACCAAAAACAACCAAAUGCCUUCCACUUGGAGAAAGCCUCAGUCCACCAGUCAGAUUCUGCAAUGUACUACUGUGCACUGGGUGGCACAGUGACAGACACUGCAGGGGGAGCUGAGCACAAACUCUAA